CAGUGUUACAGCUCUUUUAGAAUUUGUCUAGCAGGCUUUCCAGUAAAGACUGGAAAGCCCUG
ensembl:snRNA U7 U7 small nuclear RNA